GACGAACGCUGGCGGCGUGCUUAACACAUGCAAGUCGAACGGAAAGGCCCUGCUUUUGUGGGGUGCUCGAGUGGCGAACGGGUGAGUAACACGUGAGUAACCUGCCCUUGACUUUGGGAUAACUUCAGGAAACUGGGGCUAAUACCGGAUAGGAGCUCCUGCUGCAUGGUGGGGGUUGGAAAGUGUCGGCGGUUGGGGAUGGACUCGCGGCUUAUCAGCUUGUUGGUGGGGUAGUGGAUUACCAAGGCUUUGACGGGUAGCCGGCCUGAGCGGGUGACCGGCCACGUUGGGACUGAGAUACGGCCCAGACUCCUACGGGAGGCAGCAGUGGAGAAUAUUGCACAAUGGGCGGAAGCAUGAUGCAGCAACGCCGCGUGCGGGAUGACGGCCUUCGGGUUGUAAACCGCUUUCGCCUGUGACGAAGCGUGAGUGACGGUAAUGGGUAAAGAAGCACCGGCUAACUACGUG
rnacentral:rRNA from 1 species